rnacentral:rRNA from 1 species
UUUGAUCUCAAAUCAGGUAGGACUACCCGCUGAACUUAAGCAUAUCAAUAAGCGGAGGAAAAGAAACUAACAAGGAUUCCCCUAGUAACUGCGAGUGAAGCGGGAAGAGCUCAAAUUUAAAAUCUGGCAAUCCUKGUGGUUGUCCGAGUUGUAAUCUAGAGA